rnacentral:rRNA from 1 species
CAAUAGCGUAUAUUAACGUUGUUGCAGUUAAAAAGCUCGUAGUUGGAUUUCUGGUCGGAAGCUCCUGUCCUCUGAUGAGCGUACAAGUGCGUCCUACCAUCCUUCUGUUAACCUUUAAGGCUUUCGCGGCUUUCUAGGGGCUCAGAUAUUUUACCUUGAGAAAAUUAGAGUGUUUCAGGCAGGCUAGCGCCGGAAUACAUUAGCAUGGAAUAAUGGAAUAGGACUUUUGCCUCUUCUGUUGGUCAUGAGGCUCGAGUAAUGAUUAAUAGGGAUAGUUGGGGGCAUUAGUACUUAACUGUCAGAGGUGAAAUUCUCGGAUUUGUUAAAGACUAACUUAUGCGAAAGCAUUUGCCAAGGAUGUUUUCAUUAA